UUUAUUGCUAUCAACGAUUCUUCUUUUGCUGGUAAUUUCAUAUACUGAAGCCAAAUCUAGAAGAUCUUCAAAACCUAAUUGCAAUACAUGCAAAUGUUUUUGUGCGAGAUAUGCUAAGCGUGUGAGAAAACACGGAUGUGAUAAGCUCGUGAGGAAGUCGAAAGUCGAACUUUGUUGGAAUUGCAACAGUUGUCAGAACGACAAUGGGCAAAGAUCAAAUAGUGUCCUCGGGGGCUAAGUAUACAAAACACACACGAAAUGAAGCAAGAAACAACAGACUAGAAGUGCUUGAUAAACAAAUCCAGAGUGUCGGAGCUUUGAAUUAUUUUCAUGUUUAAGCUAAAGGCACAACGUGUAAUAUUUAAUAAAAUGGAGCUUAGAUA